UUGGCGUGUAGCAUUGUGGUAAUGCAACUGAUUACGUGUGAGAUAAGAUGCGGGUUCGAAUCCUGUCACGCCAAU
rnacentral:tRNA from 1 species